rnacentral:misc_RNA from 1 species
CGCAAACAUCAUGCACCAAGGAACAAUAAUGAUUCAUAAAUACAAGUAUCCUGAUGAUGAUACGCAGAAAGAGAGAGUGGGUUGUGAUUCUUUAGUUUUUGCAGGAGGAAUUGUUGGAGAUUUAAAAGCUUAAAUCUAAGCUUUUAGGUCUUGUUGCUAGUUCAUAUAUUACAUAAAGCCAGUUAGAAAUGAGUUGGCUUUGUGAAUUUCAGCUUAAAGUAAGGAGAAAAUGAGAAAAAAAAAAGGUGCUUGGGUAGGCUGAAUAUAUAGUUACUGAUCGAUAUCUUUAUGUAAUAGCCAUUAUGGUUGUUAGUUACACUUGUUUGUUCCGGAACCCUCCUUUGCAGUGGCGUAUAAUAAUGCUAUUUACCAAGUGAAAGACGGAUGAUAACUGUCAGUUUCGUUUUUUUCCCCAUCCAUUGUCUUUAUGUUUAUGCUUUCUUUUGUUCUAAUCAACAAUGUUAGCAUUGAUGUUUUCCGGGUUGCACUUGUUUGGCAUCACUUGAUGUUACUCAUUCUUUCUUUUCCCUGUUUGCUAUUUAAUUUUUAUAAUCCUGCUUAUACAUCCUUCCAAUCUCUUUAAUCUCACCUUGUGCAGGUAAGAGGUGGCCAGCUAUGGGGG